AUUGAACGCUGGCGGCAUGCUUUACACAUGCAAGUCGAACGGCAGCGCGGGCUUCGGCCUGGCGGCGAGUGGCGAACGGGUGAGUAAUGCAUCGGAACGUGCCCAGUAGUGGGGGAUAGCCCGGCGAAAGCCGGAUUAAUACCGCAUACGACCUGAGGGUGAAAGCGGGGGACCGAAAGGCCUCGCGCUAUUGGAGCGGCCGAUGUCGGAUUAGCUAGUUGGUGGGGUAAAGGCUUACCAAGGCGACGAUCCGUAGCUGGUCUGAGAGGGUGACCGGCCACAUUGGGACUGAGAUACGGCCCAGACUCCUACGGGAGGCAGCAGUGGGGAAUAUUGCACAAUGGGCGGAAGCCUGAUGCAGCAACGCCGCGUGCGGGAUGACGGCCUUCGGGUUGUAAACCGCUUUCGCCUGUGACGAAGCGUGAGUGACGGUAAUGGGUAAAGAAGCACCGGCUAACUACGUG
rnacentral:rRNA from 1 species